rnacentral:rRNA from 1 species
AUGCCGGCGGGCCAGCAGCCGCAGGCGCGCGAGCCCGACAGCGGCCGCCAGCACCCGCCGCCCGCCACGCCCGCGCUCCCGUCCGAGGUGGUGCCGGCCUACCCGCCGCCGGAGUCGGAGGACGACGAGUCCUGGGUGUGGACGCAGAUCAAGGCGGAGGCCCGGCGCGACGCGGACGCCGAGCCGGCGCUCGCCUCCUUCCUCUACGCCACGGUGCUCUCCCACCCCUCCCUGCCCCGCUCCCUCUCCUUCCACCUCGCCAACAAGCUCUGCUCCUCCACCCUCCUCUCCACGCUCCUCUACGACCUCUUCCUCGCCUCCCUCACCGCGCACCCCUCCCUCCGCGCCGCCGUCGUCGCCGACCUCCUCGCCGCGCGCGCCCGCGACCCCGCCUGCGUCGGCUUCUCCCACUGCCUCCUCAACUACAAGGGCUUCCUCGCCAUCCAGGCGCACCGCGUCGCGCACGUGCUCUGGGCGCAGAACCGCCGCCCCCUCGCGCUCGCCCUCCAGUCCCGCGUCGCCGACGUCUUCGCCGUCGACAUCCACCCCGCCGCCGUCGUCGGCAAGGCCAUCCUCCUCGACCACGCCACCGGCGUCGUCAUCGGGGAGACCGCCGUCGUCGGCGACAACGUCUCCAUCCUCCACCACGUCACCCUCGGCGGGACCGGCAAGGCCGUCGGCGACCGCCACCCCAAGAUUGGGGACGGGGUGCUCAUAGGCGCCGGCGCCACCAUCCUCGGCAACGUCAUGAUUGGAGCCGGGGCCAAGAUUGGGGCUGGCUCCGUGGUGCUGAUAGAUGUGCCGGCGAGGAGCACCGCGGUGGGCAACCCUGCCAGGCUGAUUGGAGGGAGGAAGGGCGAGUCCGACAAGGACGAGGACAUGCCCGGAGAGUCCAUGGAUCACACCUCCUUCAUACGGCAGUGGUCCGACUACACCAUCUGA